GAUGAACGCUGGCGGCGUGCCUAAUACAUGCAAGUCGAGCGAACAGACGAGGAGCUUGCUCCUUCGACGUUAGCGGCGGACGGGUGAGUAACACGUAGGUAACCUACCUAUAAGACUGGGAUAACUUCGGGAAACCGGAGCUAAUACCGGAUAAUAUUUCGAACCGCAUGGUUCGAUAGUGAAAGAUGGCUUUGCUAUCACUUAUAGAUGGACCUGCGCCGUAUUAGCUAGUUGGUAAGGUAACGGCUUACCAAGGCAACGAUACGUAGCCGACCUGAGAGGGUGAUCGGGCACACUGGAACUGAGACACGGGCCAGACUCCUACGGGAGGCAGCAGUAGGGAAUCUUCCGCAAUGGGCGAAAGCCUGACGGAGCAACGCCGCGUGAGUGAUGAAGGUCUUCGGAUCGUAAAACUCUGUUAUUAGGGAAGAACAAACGUGUAAGUAACUGUGCACGUCUUGACGGUACCUAAUCAGAAAGCCACGGCUAACUACGUG
rnacentral:rRNA from 1 species